GCUGAGAGUAGCCAUUGCAUUUGCUAGUGGCAUGGAUGCAAGGGUGUAACUGAAGUUAACUGUGCAAUAAGGGCAUUUCUGGCAUCCCAGACAAGAAUGUGAGCAGUUGGAGUUACUACCCUAAUCACCUUCUUCACAUCUCUUGUCUCCCUCACCUCUUUUCCUGAGUGGCUCAAAGUGAACUUAGCCCUUUGCUCGUUCCUCCUACACUGGUGGGUUAUUGAUGUGCAUCCCGAGCCACAUUUACUGGUUAUCCUUCGAUGAAAGGGAAGCAGGCUUGUACUUCUUUUUGGGUAUUCAAGAGCUUGUUUCAACUUCAGGAGAGCAACAACAAUGGGCAAAUGUACUAAGAAACAGCAGAGGAUAACCACCUGGAACCGAGAGAACGCUCCACCGUCCUCUUAUUGAAAGAGGAUGAACGGCUGUCCAGACGAUGAAUUCUGGGAUGGUCUCCUACGACAAUGCGCCAAAUGUACGAAUUGUGGGCAUAACCGGCAUAGUGGGUGCAAGACGUACUGUGAUAUUUGGAGCUGCAAUGAAGCUGCGGGAUUUUAUUGGGACAAACUGCUGCGCAACUGCAUCAAGUGCUCAGAUGUGUGUGGGCAACAUCCUCAACAAUGCUCAGAAAUUUGCUAUGAUGCUGCCAGACCUGCUGAGUUUCUCCAGCAUUUUGUUUUUUUAUGCUAUGACAGUCCUUACCAGCAAGGUGGAUUGAAAUUUCUGAACUAUGGUUGGCAGCCUAACCCAGUGAUUAAGUCCUGGAUGUCCCUGCUUUGGGAUCACAAACUCAAAGGAGGAUACCCAAACUACUCUGAGACACUGUCUCUCACAUGAAGAUCAUUCCAACAUCCUCCUGUUUGUGACUCUGGCAGCGGGUCUCUGUGUUGUUACUUGUGUAUUUCUGAUGCUGUUAGCUUGCUGUGUCAAGAAGUGGGUUCCUUCCACCUGCAGCACUGAGUCCAUCCACAAGACGAAUACACCCUCAAAAGAUGGACUACUGCAACUGAGUGUUGAAGGAGAUGACCAUAAUCAAAGUAUAUCCUCCAACCCAUCAUUAUCUGAGCCAUCUGAAACUUGUAGUUAUUGCUUCUCAGAUCAGAGGUUCUCGGAUAAAGAACGAAAGAUAUCGUCAAGCACAGCAACUCAUCAGUGCAUCCAGAUACCAUCUGUUCCUAACCAAAGAGUUCUUCCUUCUGCUACAGUUUACAAAGAGAAGCCAUUUCAGAUCAUCUGCUCUCCUUCACAACCCAGCUUAAAAGAAACUCAAAGUUUCCAGGAGAAGUGCCACUUGAAUUAUUGAUGACUUUAAGCUUAAACCACUUAUUCUAUUAAACGUCAACUGGACUCCCACAAAGCAGUCCCACAGUAAAACUGCUUACACACCCUCCCAAUCUGACAUUAAAAAGCACAAGAUUUAGGACUCUGCUCUAACAUCUCAUAUCCAGAUAAAAUAUGGCCCAUGACCCCCUUCAAACAACAGGUAGAGUUGAGGAGAGGUAUGGAGAGAUCCAGUCUUCAUCUUCACAGACAACUUGCACAGAAAAAAAAAAGGACAGGAGUC